UACGUAGGGCGCGAGCGUUGUCCGGAAUUAUUGGGCGUAAAGAGCUCGUAGGCGGCCUGUUGCGUCCGCUGUGAAAUCCCAGGGCUCAACCCUGGGCGUGCGGUCGAUACGGGCAUCACUGGAGUUCGGCAGGGGAGACUGGAAUUCCUGGUGUAGCGGUGAAAUGCGCAGAUAUCAGGAGGAACACCGGUGGCGAAGGCGGUUCUCUGGGCCUUACCUGACGCUGAGGAGCGAAAGCGUGGGGAGCGAACAGG
rnacentral:rRNA from 1 species